CACUCUAGAGAGACUGCCAGGGAUAACCUGGAGGAAGGUGGGGAUGACGUCAAAUCAUCAUGCCCCUUAUGCUUAGGGCUACACACGUGCUACAAUGGGUAGUACAGAGGGUUGCCAAGCCGUAAGGUGGAGCUAAUCCCUUAAAGCUACUCUCAGUUCGGAUUGUAGGCUGAAACUCGCCUACAUGAAGCUGGAGUUACUAGUAAUCGCAGAUCAGAAUGCUGCGGUGAAUGCGUUCCCGGGUCUUGUACACACCGCCCGUCACACCACGGGAGUUGGAGACGCCCGAAGCCGAUUAUCUAACCGUUUGGAAGAAGUCGUCGAAGGUGGAAUCAAUAACUGGGGUGAAGUCGUAACAAGGUAGCCGUAUCGGAAGGUGCGGCUGGAUCACCUCCUUUCUAAGGAGA
rnacentral:rRNA from 1 species